rnacentral:miRNA from 1 species
AACAUCCUCAUCAGCUGGAAGGGAUUCCUUCCGCUGAUGAGGGUAACAACCUCAUCAAUUGGAAGGAAUUCCUUCCAAUUGAUGAGGUUGUU